rnacentral:rRNA from 1 species
GAUCAUGGCUCAGGAUGAACGCUAGCGACAGGCUUAACACAUGCAAGUCGAGGGGCAUCAUGAGGUAGCAAUACCUUGAUGGCGACCGGCGCACGGGUGAGUAACGCGUAUGCAACCUGCCCGAUACCUGGGUAUAGCCCAUGGAAACGUGGAUUAACACCCCAUAGUACUUUUAUCCUGCCUGGGAUGGGAGUUAAAAUGUUUCAAGGUAUCGGAUGGGCAUGCGUCCUAUUAGUUAG